AUGCGAAUCAUUGAUGUUCGUCAUGGCAAGGUACUAUUGCUGUGCACACAAGGUAGGAUUCUCGCAGUCUGGGAUCCUAUGAAUGGAGAAACAACUUUCACACAAGAACCAGAGAAUGGAACGAAUAGCCAGGCUAGUAUAUUGUGUGCCGUGAAUCAUGAUCACAAGGAUGGAUGUAAUAAUUGUCCUAUCAAAAUCAUUUGGAUUAGCACAGGAAGAAAUCCAACCAAGGUGUACACCUUUUGUUCUGCUACUGCUGAGUGGAAAUGUGCUGUGUGUGUUCUUCCAUCUUUGUCAUAUGUCAAAUUCCGUCCUGGAACCAUUGUUGGAAAUGUCAUGUAUUGGGUAAUGAGUAUAAACCAUCUGUUUAGUUUCAAUAUGAUUGACAGCAGCAUGAGCUACAUAGAACAACCUCAUGAAGUUGAUACAAUUCUUAGGAGGAAUGUUCAUGUAAUGAAGAUUAGAAAUCAUGAACUUGGUGUUGCUGCUGUUAUUAAUUUUGAGAUGAGAAUAUGGAGGAUGGAAGCUGAUUUAGAUGAAACAAUAUGCUGGAUUCCUCAUAAAGUGAUUCAACUGUAG
rnacentral:rRNA from 1 species